rnacentral:rRNA from 1 species
CGGAGGAUCCGAGCGUUAUCCGGAUUAUUGGUUAAGGGUGCGUAGGCGGCACUUAAGUCAGGGUGAAGACGGCAGCUUAACUGUCGCAGUGCCUUUGAUACUGAAGUGCUUGAAUGCGGUUGAAGACGGCGGAAUGAGACAAGUAGCGGUGAAAUGCAUAGAUAUGUCUCAGAACACCGAUUGCGAAGGCAGCUGUCUAAGCCGUUAUUGACGCUGAUGCACGAAAGCGUGGGAUCGAACAGGAUU